AUGAAGUCUAAGAUGAAUAGGGGCAUACAGAAGGCAGGAAGAGUAGAUCAUCUCGAAGGAGGAGGACCAAACUGGAUUCUUGUUGCCGGAGGAGUUUUGCUAAGCACUCUCUCCGUCAAACUUGGAUGCAAAUUAAAGCAAAUGUUUGAUACGAAGCAGCAGAAUAGCUUUUCCAAAGCCGAAAGUAGGUUCGGAGGAUGUGAAUUGCACUCAAACGUAUGUAGGUUUCGUGGCCAAACUAGCUGCUACUAUUGUAUUUCAGGGCAUUCAGAUGGUGGAGUGGAAGUCAAGCAUCCACCUGCAAGUCCUUCAUCGAAAUCAGCUGAACCCUCACUUCCACUUGUGAAGAUACCAGUGCAAGAAUCAAGCAAGGACAACAGCGGCGUCAUGUGGAUAUCAUCACCUGACCGCCUUGAAGAUCCUCGCAAACCAUUUCAGUACUCAAACAGUUCUGGCUCUCCACGUGUUUCAGAGUCAGGAUCUGACAUUUAUAGCAAGAGAGAGGUCAUACAGAAGCUGAGGCAGCACCUGAAGAGCCGUGAUGAGAUGAUCAUGGAGAUUCAAGCUCAGAUUGCUGACCUUAAGAACUCUCUUGUCAUCCAGGAGACACAGUCGUCCAAUUUGCAGUCUCAGCUGGAGUCUGCUAACCGAGAUUUAUUUGAAUCUGAGCGGGAGAUCCAGCAUCUGAGGAAGAUCAUCACGGACCAUUGUGUUGGCGAAGCACUCUCUCACGAUAAGUUGUUGCAUGUUGGACACUGGCAGUCAGAUGCCACCAAUGGCCAUGCGCAGCGUCAAUGA
rnacentral:rRNA from 1 species